CUGGUGAGGGCGUCUAAUUGCGGCGAAAGCUGAGGAAAGUCCGGACUCCAUAGGGCAGGGUGCCAGCUAACGGCUGGGCGUGUAAGGCGACGGCAAGUGCAACAGAAAGCAAACCGCCAAUAUUAAAUAUUUGGUAAGGGUGAAACGUUGUGGUAAGAGCACAACAGUAGCUUUGGAAACAAGGCUAGCUAGGUAAACCCCACUCGGUGCAAGGUCCGAUAGGGAGAGAGAGUUUGCCCGACUCGUUAAAAUCUCCGGGAUGACCGCGUAAGGUAAUUGGCGACAAUUAUCUCAGAAAGAUGAUUAGAGCUCGCAAGAGUACAGAAUCCGGCUUAUAACCCUCCUAGGCAG
rnacentral:RNase_P_RNA from 1 species